rnacentral:rRNA from 1 species
UACGUAGGGCGCAAGCGUUGUCCGGAAUUAUUGGGCGUAAAGAGCUCGUAGGCGGUUUGUCGCGUCUGCUGUGAAAACUCGAGGCUCAACCUCGGGCUUGCAGUGGGGUACGGGCAGACUAGAGUGCGGUAGGGGGUGACUGGAAUUCCUGGGUGUAGCGGUGGAAUGCGCAGAUAUCAGGAGGAACACCGAUGGCGAAGGCGGGGUCUCU